AUACUUACUCCUGUACAAGGAAUACAACAAAAAGAUGUGCAGGAAUAUCUGAUUUAAUGCAGGCUGGUGCCCUGAUAAUCACCCCUUGAUGAUAACUAGAAGUCUUCUGAAA